GCACUCCAGCCUGUGUGACACAGUGAGACUCCAUCUCAAAAAAAAAAAAAAAAAAGAACAGACAUCUGUUUAUCACAGUUCUGGAGGCUGGAAGUCCAAGAUGAAGGUGUGGGCUGAUUAGGUUCUUCUAGGAACACUGCAUCCUCAUGUGGUGGAGGGGAUGGAAGGUCAAGAGGCCUCAGCUAGUUCUCUGCUGCCUUUUUUUGAGGCAUUAAGCCAUUUGCAAGAGUAGGGGCCCCACCUCUUAAUACCACCGCAGUGACAAUUACAGUGUCAUGUGAAUUCUGGAGGGGACCCGGUCACACUGCAGCAUCUGCACCUGGUGAACGUGGUUCUCUCCCGUGUCAGAAUUUUGUGAGCUCCACACGGGCAGGGUUGCAUCUGUUUUAUUCUCUGAUUUAUUCUAAGCCCCGUGUCCCUGGCACAGGAUGGCUGCUUGGCAGUGGGGAGUGGGUGAACCAGUGGUACCCAGGGCUGCCAGGCAGGGCCCUGCAGGGGACAGACCCAAGGGCUGUUAUGGGGACGUCUGCUGAGGGGGGAAUUUACCACGGUAAGGGCAGGGCUGGGAGGCUGGGCAGCCAGUUUCACCCUCGCACAGGGUGUGUAGCAAGACCAGCAGCCAGAGGUGAUGUCCUCAGUAGAGAACGGUGGCCCCUGGAAACGUGUAGCUGGAAGGGGAAACACUCGGGCCUCUGGUGGGGACCAUCCUGGGGUGGGGUCGGCCAGGGUCAGCUGCCUUUCCUUCAUGCUGGGACGGAGAUGUUGUGUGCAUGUGACAAAGCAUUUGACAGCAUGCCAAAAGUUUACUCCAUUAUGUGCGUGUCAAGUGUCUGAGCAGGUCAGAAGUCUCGUUCUAUGUGAACGUGCUCACGCAGACAGAAGCGGAGGGGCUCCGUUGCUCUGCCCUCACACCGCUGAACCGCAAAGGUCUCCCGCUCGUCAGACUUGCGGCUCGGCCGCGAAGUGUGUCAGGUGUGCAUCCUGGGCACUCCUUUGUGCUCUGUCCUAUGGUGGCACAGGCGGCGUGGGGUUAAACAGGUACUGAUCAGAUUACGGUGGCACAGGCAGCGUGCAGUUAGACAGGUACCGGUCAGAUUACGGUGGCACAGGCGGCGUGGGGUUAAACAGGUACUGAUCAGAUUACGGUGGCACAGGCAGCGUGCAGUUAGACAGGUACCAGUCAGAUGCAUGGGCUCCCUAAACCCCUGCUGUGGCUUCGGCAGUAAAGACAGGAUGCACCCACGUCACAGGAGGAGCACAGGCAGGGGUGUUGGUGUUGGGGCAGCCUUCAGGGUCUCCAGACCCCGGCCCCACUCACACAGCAGCCCAGGAAGGAAGAGCAGAGUCCCAGGUGUCUCCUGAGAGAGUCCCUGGUGGGUCUCCCAGGAGCUGCCCCUCCCUGGAAGUCACAGGACAGGAAUGACAGAUCAGGGAACUGCAGGAAGCUGCCACCUCUGGGGUCAGAAUAUGCCCAGCCUGUGGGGGCUGUCUAUCGGGGUCUUCGAGAGCCAGACAGCCUGCCUUGUGCUGCAUACCUGGCUUUGCUCUGUGCAGAACGCAGCACACGUGAUUUUGUGUGACAUGCCAACAGCCGGCUCCCAGGACAGAAGGCCUGCCCUGGGGGAGUGGCUGCAGGAGGAGGGGGGGGCGGGCAGCCAUGAGUCUGUCUAGCCUUGUCACCGAUGCAUUGCCCACCCUGCAGUCCUGAUUUCAGCUCACCUCAGAGUAAAUCAGAAUAAACCGCACGCAGACUUUCACGAAUGCAUGUUGACGCUUUCAGUUCACCCAUUUCUUUGCUAACUUUCUUCCUAUUUUCUUCUAAUGCGAGAGCUUAUUCGAUAUUUAUCAUUUUGAAUAACUUUUCUCCUUUUUAGUAACAAAAUGUACUUCACUAUUAGUAAAAUGUAUUUACUAUUUUAGUAACAAAAAUGUACUUGCCUAAUCAUGUUUAAAAUAUAGUGAUGUGAAAAAUUCA